rnacentral:lncRNA from 1 species
AACAUAUUUAUAUGAUUGUAUAUAUUUUUUAAAAAUUAAUAAGUACUAUAUAAAAUUAUGUAAGAUUAUAGAUAGAUUCAGAUAUACAGAUACGGAUCGAAUAUUGGUCUAUUCAUAUGUAUAUCUAUUUUUUUUUGACAAAUAUAGAUAUAGAUACGAAAUAUUAGUUGUACAUCAAAUUUUUAUUCAUAUUGAAAUUAAUUCGGAUAGAAAAAUAGGCCUAAAUGGAUAUUAUCCAUGACAGUUUCAUCUCUAAAUGGCAAGCUGACCUGAAAAUUGAACCACCUUGAUCAAACUCGGCU